AGCGAACGCUGGCGGCAGGCUUAACACAUGCAAGUCGAACGGGCAUAGCAAUAUGUCAGUGGCAGACGGGUGAGUAACGCGUGGGAACAUACCUCUUGGUUCGGAACAACACAGGGAAACUUGUGCUAAUACCGGAUAAGCCCUUACGGGGAAAGAUUUAUUGCCGAGAGAUUGGCCCGCGUCUGAUUAGCUAGUUGGUGAGGUAAGAGCUCACCAAGGCGACGANCAGUAGCUGGUCUGAGAGGAUGAUCAGCCACAUUGGGACUGAGACACGGCCCAAACUCCGUACGGGAGGCAGCAGGUGGGGAAUAUUGGACAAGUGGGGCAACCCUGAUCCAGCAAUGCCGCGUGAGUGAAGAAGGCCUU
rnacentral:rRNA from 1 species